CCGUUCCUAAGUCCAGCUUGGAUUCCUGUUUGUGCAGACUGCUCUGCUUACAUCCUGGGCAGCUCUGAUGCUACACUGAAUGCCAGCCAAAGUCGGUGCCCGCUCACGUUCACAGAGAACAGAAAAAGAAAAGGAAGCAAGGAAGGAAGGAAAGAUCUUUUUGAUGUGGAUCCAGAACCCUUGGCUCACUGUGGACUUUGACAUUAUGCCUGACGUUGAGGCAGCAGCCAAAUUCCACAAUGAGACAUAAGCACUCUUACACAUUAACAAAAAUGAGUGCCUAGAAUCAGCUUUCAUGCUCCCAAUAUACUCACUCGUGAAUUGGGAUUGGCGGCCCCCAAGCCCACACUGCCGCACUUUACACCCUCGGAAGAGCCCGUAGUAAAUGUCCCCAAUGAACUUGACCAGCUCUCUGUCUGUGGCGUUGACCAGAUCCACUCCAGUCUGACAAAGGAUUUUCCCACUCAGCCAGUGGGGCACUACCAGGGCAACGAUGAUCAGGAUGAAGGAGGAGAAGCUGAGUAAAGACGCCAGCCCAUACCACGCCUUUUUGAACCAUCCAGGCAUGCUAGUGGGUGCAGGUCAUCCCCAAGGUCUCCGAGCAGCAGCGAGGGUCAUUGACAUCUUUCAGAUACUCGGCAAUGCUCUGCUCCAAGGUCAGCUCUUCCAAACACUCUGUUUCAAGGUUGUAGGUCCAUCCUCUCGUCCUCCUUCAGCGCAAGCUUGCACAGUCCAUGCUUCCUACAACCACAUCCAGAAGCCUCUACAGAGACAAUCUUCACCUGACUAUGUAGCGGAGUGUGUUACUGAAGGAAGUAACCUUAUAUCUCCUCCUAGACUAAUGUUUCAGCAGACUGUUUAACUGUUCCUCGUUUCAAGUAUUUAAAUAGCCCUGGUGUGGACCUCGUAAUGAUAAAGGAGUUAGUAAUAAGCAAAAUCAGGUAGCUCUGAAGAUUAAGAGACGCAAACCAAUCUCAAAAAAUGCAUGUGUUAGAAGGAAAACAAAAACAGAAUGAUUAGCACUUGAAUAUUGCCAACAAUGCGCAGUAUCAAAUGUCGAUCUCGCUGAUGCAUGGGUGCCCUGGCAUUUCUUUCUCUGAAAUGUCACUGCUGUCAGAAUCUUUAGGACUGUUAUUAAUACCAUCAAAUGACCCCGGUUCUUGGGGCUUUAAUAUUGAAAUGUGUAAAUAGGGCCUUAUGAAUUUCUCACUGUGUGAAUCUGCUGGGGGUAAACUGUGACUAGAAUUACUUUGUGGCUGUUGGGGUAGCCUGGAAUCCAACACUUAACAUUGCUCUCACCCGUCCC
rnacentral:lncRNA from 1 species